rnacentral:rRNA from 1 species
UACGUAGGCAGCGAGCGUUGUUCGGAGUUACUGGGCGUAAAGGGUGUGUAGGCGGUUUUUUAAGUUUGGUGUGAAAUCUCCCGGCUCAACCGGGAGGGUGCGCCGAAUACUGAAUGACUAGAGUGCGGGAGAGGUGAGUGGAAUUCCUGGUGUAGCGGUGAAAUGCGUAGAUAUCAGGAGGAACACCGGUGGUGUAGACGGCUCACUGGACCGUAACUGACGCUGAGACACGAAAGCGUGGGUAGCAAACAGG